rnacentral:pre_miRNA from 1 species
GUAUGUGUGUGGAGGGUGUUCAGCACCAAGGACAGUUAUGUUUGCCUCUUUGUGCGCGUGUGUGUGUGGAGGGUGUUCAGCACCAAGGACAAAUAUGUUUGCCU